AUGGCUCAAUGGUAAGAGCACUGGCUGCUCUUCUAGAGGUCCUGGGUUCAAUUCCCAGU
rnacentral:tRNA from 1 species